AGAGUUUGAUCCUGGCUCAGAGUGAACGCUGGCGGCAUGCUUAAGACAUGCAAGUCGAACGAAGGUAGCAAUACCUUAGUGGCAAACGGGUGAGUAAAGGAUGGGAAUCUACCUUACAGUGGGGAACAACAGUUGGAAACGACUGCUAAUACCGCAUAUUACCAUUUAUGGGAAAGGCUUCGGCCGCUGUUAGAUGAGCCUAUUUCUGAUUAGCUAGUUGGUGAGGUAAUGGCUCACCAAGGCAACGAUCAGUAGCUGGUCUGAGAGGAUGAUCAGCCACACCGGAACUGAGACACGGUCCGGACUCCUACGGGAGGCAGCAGUCGGGAAUAUUGGACAAUGGACGAAAGUCUGAUCCAGCAAUGCCGCGUGAAUGAUGAAGGCCUUAGGGUUGUAAAGUUCUUUUGUCAGGGAAUAUAAUGAAGGUACCUGAAGAAUAAGCACCGGCUAAUUUCGUGCCAGCAGCCGCGGUAAUACGAAAGGUGCUAGCGUUACUCGGAUUUACUGGGCGUAAAGCGCGUGUAGGUUGAUUUGUAAGUCAGUUGUUAAAAACCGAAGCUUAACUUCGGCGCUGCAAUUGAAACUGCUUAUCUUGAAUAUGGUAGGGGAUAGCGGAAUUUCUGGUGUAGGGGUAAAAUCCGUAGAUAUCAGAAGGAACACCAAAGGCGAAGGCAGCUAUCUGGGCCAUUAUUGACACUGAGACGCGAAAGCGUGGGGAGCAAACAGGAUUAGAUACCCUGGUAGUCCACGCCCUAAACUAUGAGUGCUAAUCGUCGGGAUUUAUCUCGGUGGUAAAGUUAACACGUUAAGCACUCCGCCUGGGUAGUACGGCCGCAAGGCUAAAACUCAAAGGAAUUGACGGGGACCCGCACAAGCGGUGGAGCAUCUGGUUUAAUUCGAUAAUAACCGAAGAACCUUACCAACUCUUGACACGUACAUUGUGGAUGCACGAAAGUGGUCCUUAUCGCAAGAUGAUGUACACAGGUGUUGCAUGGCCGUCGUCAGCUCGUGUCGUGAGAUGUUUGGUUAAGUCCUUUAACGAGCGCAACCCUCCUCUUUAUUUGCUAACAGGUUAUGCUGAGGACUAUAAAGAUACUGCCUGCGUAAGCAGGAGGAAGGAGAGGAUGAUGUCAGGUCAUCGUGGCCCUUAUGAGUUGGGCUACACAGGUGCUACAAUGGGUGGUACAAAGAGUCGCAAUGUGGUAACACGGAGCCAAUCUCUAAAGCCAUCCUCAGUUCGGAUUGAGGCUUGCAACUCAGCCUCAUGAAGUCGGAAUCGCUAGUAAUCGUUGAUCAGAAUGCAACGGUGAAUACGUUCUCGGGUCUUGUACACACCGCCCGUC
rnacentral:rRNA from 1 species